rnacentral:rRNA from 1 species
AGAACGAACGCUGGCGGCGUGGAUAAGACAUGCAAGUCGAACGUGAUUUCGGAUGUAGCAAUACAGUCGAAGUCAAGUGGCGCAAGGGUGAGUAACACGUGGGUAAUUUGCCGGAAAGUGGGGAAUAGCUCGCCGAAAGGCGAAUUAAUACCGCAUGUGGCCAUUCUCCGCAUGGAGAAAAAGCCAAAGCUGGGGAUCGCAAGACCUGGCGCUUUCUGAUGAGCCCGCGGCCUAUCAGCUUGUUGGCGGGGUAACGGCCCACCAAGGCUAUGACGGGUAGCUGGUCUGAGAGGACGACCAGUCACACUGGAACUGAGACACGGUCCAGACACCUACGGGUGCAGCAGUCGAGAAUCUUUCUCAAUGGGAAACCCUGAAGGAGCGACGCCGCGUGGAGGAUGAAGGUCUUCGGAUCGUAAACUCCUGUCAUGAGAGAACAAGGUCGUUAGGUUAAUAGCGGACGAAUUGAUAGUAUCUACAAGAGGAAGAGACGGCUAAC